AGGCAGCAGGCACGCAAAUUACCCAAUCCCAGCCCGGGGAGGUAGUGACGAAAAAUAACAAUGCGGGACUCUUCUGAGUCUGCGUAAUUGGAAUGAGUACACUUUAAAUCCUUUAGCAACAACCAAUUGGAGGGCAAGUCUGGUGCCAGCAGCCGCGGUAAUUCCAGCUCCAAUAGCGUAUAUUAAAGUUGUUGCGGUUAAAAAGCUCGUAGUUCGAGCUCAGUUCCGGACUGGCUGGGGAGGUCACCGCCCGGUGCUUCCCCGUCAGGCUCCGAACAGCUUUCAUGACUGAAAGCCAAGCCGGUUUUCGCCGGGGUGCUCUUCACCGAGUGUCCCGCGCGGCCGGCCAGUUUACCUUGAAUAAAUGAGAGUGCUCAAAGCAGGCUACUCUUAAAAAUAAAGCCCGAAUGUUACCUGCAUGGAAUGAUGGAAGAUGAUCUCGGUUCCAUUUUAUUGGCUCUGGGAAUCCGAGUUAAUGAUAAACAGGGACAGUCGGGGGCAUCCGUACUACGACGCGAGAGGUGAAAUUCAGUGACCGUCGUAGGACGAACAACAGCGAAAGCAUUUGCCAAGAAUGUCUUCGUUGAUCAAGAACGAAAGUUAGAGGAUCGAAGGCGAUCAGAUACCGCCCUAGUUCUAACCCUAAACGAUGCUGACUAGCAAUUCGCCGUCGUUAUUCCCAUGACGUGGCGAGACGCCCCCGGGAAACCUCAAGUCUUUGAGUUCCGGGGGUAGUAUGGUUGCAAAACUGAAACUUAAAGGAAUUGACGGAAGGGCACCACCAGGAGUGGAGCCUGCGGCUUAAUUUGACUCAACACGGGAAACCUCACCAGGCCCGGACACCAGAAGGAUUGACAGAUUAAGAGCUCUUUCUCGAUUUGGUGGGUGGUGGUGCAUGGCCGUUCUUAGUUGGUGGAGUGAUUUGUCUGGUUAAUUCCGGUAACGAACGAGACUCUGGCCUACUAAAUAGUCGACGUGGGUUUUGGUGCAUGGGCCCCGUUCGACAAUGUCUUCUUAGAGGGAUGAGCAGCGAGUAUAGCUGCAGGAGAUUGAGCAAUAACAGGUCUGUGAUGCCCUUAGAUGUCCUGGGCCGCACGCGCGCUACACUGAAUGGGUUAGCGGGUCUUCCUUCUCCGAGAGGAGCGGGAAAUCGCGUGAAAACCAUUCGUGAUAGGGAUUGGGGCUUGCAAUUGUUUCCCAUGAACGAGGAAUUCCCAGUAAGCGCAAGUCAUCAGCUUGCGUUGAUUAAGUCCCUGCCCUUUGUACACACCGCCCGUCGCUACUACCGAUUGAAUGAUUUAGUGAGGCCUUCGGACUGGCGGUCUUGGACUGGGCUUCACUCGCCACUACCCCAGCGAUGGGGGGCGGUGGACUCGCCAAGACGAGACGGAAAGAUGUCCAAACUUGAUCAUUUAGAGGAAGUAAAAGUCGUAACAAGGUUUCC
rnacentral:rRNA from 1 species